rnacentral:misc_RNA from 1 species
AAUACCUUUUCCAACAAUAAUUAGUGGCUUCUUAGCAUUGGCUAAUAGACUCACUGCCUGCUCUAUGAGCUCUGGUUGAGGGUAUAUGACAGGAGGUGGUGGACAUCGUCCAACUUUUGCAAUACGCUUUACUGGAACUUUUUGAGUUAAUAUCGUAGCUGGCAUGUCCAGGUAUGUGGCACCUGUAAAAUUGCAUAAUGUAUCAUCAGAAGAAUUUGAUCAAAUAUUAUUACCUCAUACAGUAAUGUGAAUUGUUUACCAGGUCUACCAUAAGUUGCCAAUCUAACAGCCUUCUCAACAUGAAGAGGUAUAAGUGCAGCCGAAGGUGGCCUGGCAGCAUAUUUGCAGUAAGGGCGGCUACUUUCAACUUGUGGCCAUUCUUGGAACCCCCCGAUUCCUUCAUGAUCUUGUGGGCAGGAUCCUCCGAUGACCAAAACUGGCCUGUGAAAGAAAGAUUUUAUUUUGGGUUGAAAUAUGCGAGAACCGCGUCGGGUCCGGGUGUGGGGUGGGUAAUGAGAAACAGGCUAGUCUUAGGUUGAUUCGUAAGCCUCAUUGUUGGCACGUUACACGGAAAAGUAUAAGUACCCAG